GUGCUCACUUCAGUAGCACAUAUACUAAAAUUUGAAUGAUACAGAGAUUAGCAUGGUCCUUGUGCAAGGACGACACGAAAACUCAUGAAGUGUUCCAUAUUUUU
rnacentral:snRNA from 1 species